UUUUCCUACGGGGCGCAGCAGUGAGGAAUAUUGGUCAAUGGGCGUAAGCCUGAACCAGCCAAGUCGCGUGAGGGAUGAAGGUUCUAUGGAUCGUAAACCUCUUUUAUAGGGGAAUAAAGUGUGGGACGUGUCCUGUUUUGUAUGUACCUUAUGAAUAAGGAUCGGCUAACUCCGUGCCAGCAGCCGCGGUAAUACGGAGGAUCCGAGCGUUAUCCGGAUUUAUUGGGUUUAAAGGGUGCGUAGGCGGCCUUUUAAGUC
rnacentral:rRNA from 1 species